GAAUAUUUUGGGACCCUUUGGAGACAUUCUUUCCAGAUUUUGGGGCUGGAAAAGGGAUUAGUAGGGUCCAUUGUUGGUUUAUUAUUGCUAAGUGUCAUGUGCAUGGGUCCUGAGUUGUCUAAGGGGCCUUUUCUUUUAUUCCGAAUCAGAUUUAGAAUUCUGGGGAGGGUAGAGAGACUCUUGGUGAGUGGAGAACGAAAAUUCGAAGUGUGCUAAGGUGUUCAAGUCUUCAAGAGGUAAGGGGUGCUAAUUCUAACUUUGAUUUCUAAAAUUUUUGGUGGAUGUGAAUAUGAAUUCAGAUGCUUGGUGUUGUCAUGAUGAAAUGUAUGGAAAAUUGGUUUGGUUAGAUGUUUUGUAUGAUUUCAAGAAUUUGAUUCAAAUGAGGUUUUAUUACAACUUUGAUCUAUGACUUUUUGUAUGAACUUCAUGAUGGAAGACUUGUGAAAAUUGAUGAAUAUAAGUUGAAUUGAUAGUGAAUUUUCGUUCUAGCAUGUUGAUAUACAUGUAUAUAAAGUUUUUUAUGGAUUGGGUUGUGAAAUUGGAUGAGAAACAUGAGGGUUUUACCUCACUUUUUAUCAAAUACGAAAAUGGUUUGUUUUGUAUGAUUGAUGAAUUUUGGACAGAUGAAUUGAUUGGUUUAUGUGGAAAUCUUUGACAAAAUGGAAGUACGAGUAAAACAUUAAGAUGUUGGGAUUAUAAAAGUUUAUGUGUUGGAAAUUGGUAGAUCUAAAGAUGUGUUUCAAUGAGUAAAAGUUGAUGAUGAGUUGGUGGGAAGUUCACUUGAGUAUUGUGCAUUUUCAAAUCUGUUUUGAUGUUGAUAAAUGGAUGGUAGGUAAACUGUUUUGGGCUGGAAAUAUUCUUUGCUUGGAUGAAGGUUUUUGAGUAUGUGUUAAUGGAAAAGAGAUGAAUUAUAACUUAGAUUGAACAUUGAAUUUUCAUAUGGAUGUUAUGGUGUAAGUUGUUAAGAGAUUUUGAGUUGUCUAAAACCAUGAAAAUCAUGUAAAACAGAAGGGUUUUCUCAUGGAUACUUUGGUGCACGAAAAUUUCAUAUAUUGGAUGGAUAAUGGGAUAAGAUUCAUGAUAUGUAUGAGGGUUAAUGUAUGCUCUAUUUUGGAUGAGAUUAAUAGUAGAAACUCUCUUGAAAGUUUGGAUUGAGUUGGUAAAAAAUGUGAAUAUAAUUCAAAGGUGUUAUGUAGAACAUUUUUAGUUGUUGUAAAGAUGUUUUUUAUGGCAAUCCAUGAAGUUUCAGAUCUGUUUCACAUCAAUAAACCUUGUUGUUUGGUGCUGUUUGAAUACUGUUACUGUAUUAAAAUUACUUGUUGUUACUGUAUUCAAAUUACUUGUUUUUGCUGUAUUUAAAUCACUUGUUUGGUUUUGUUUGAAUGCUGUUACUGUAUUUAAAACACUUAAUGUUUGGUGCUGUUUGGACGCUGUUCCUGUAUUUAAAUCACUUGUUAGGUAUUACAAACUCUAUAUAUUCUUUGCUGUUUGGUUUUAAAAUAUGCUAUUUCAAAUCAGUUUUAAGGUUUGAUAAAUGGAUUAUGUGUGUAAAGUGUUUUGGGAUUUAAUGUAGCACAUUUUGGGGUUGUUUGAGUGUUUAAAAUCUUGGUUGAAAGGUCAUGGUUGUAUGAUAAAUGGCUGGUUAAAAAGUUAGUUAGAAAUUAUCUGUUUGGUAUAAAGUAGUUAGUUUUGCAUGAGAAGAUGAAUGUGUUGAUGUUUGUGAUAAUUAUGAUUGAUUUUGGAUGUGAUAUGUUUUGAUACAUGUUUAAGGAGGUAAAGUGAUGUGGAGAUGAGUUGUAUGUGAAAAUACUUUGUUAAGUAUGAAUUAGAAUAGUUUAACUAUGAAUUUGAUGAAGAAUGGAAUGAUAUGAUAUGAGAAUAUAAUUUGUUAAGUAUGGUUGAGGAUAAUUAAACCGUGAGUUUAAUUGAGAAUGAUGUGUUGGAAAAGGUAUGAGAUGAAUUAUGGUUAAUUAUGAAAGAUGUUAUAAAAAUGUUAUUUGGUUAAUCUGUGCUACUUUGGUAAGUAAACAGAAUUGAAUGAGAAAUGUUGAUUGGUUAUUAUAUACUUGUUGAGCAUGCGUGGUUUGGGAUUGUUGAUUAAGAUGGAUUAUGGUUUAUUAUGAAAUGAUGUUUAUUAUUGGGAGUAGUAUAUUUGGUUUGUACCAUAAGACCUUGAUAUAAGCAGAGUGACUCAUGAGACUUAUGCAAGCAGACAGACAGUGGUCUGACCAUAAGGCAUUGACAUAAACAGAUUACUCAUAAGUCUUAUCGAAGCAGGCAGAGAGCAGUCUGUAACGUACACUACAUGUCCAAUCUUAAUUAAAAGCUUGAAUUAAAGAGAGAUUGAAAGUAAACUCACAUUAGAAGCUUAGAAAAACGUCAAUUUUGGAAAUUUUACUACAAUUACAAUGGUCUAAUAAAUAAAAAAUAUUACGAGUUUGGUGUCCAAAGAAAUCUUUUUGAGUCUACAUUCCAACACAAAAAGAAUCAUCUUAUUUGGAGUUAUGUGGAGAGAAUAAUGAGCAAAACCGUUAGCAAAGGUCAAAGCUAAAAAUACAAGAGCGUGAUUAAAUUUUUUAUUUUAAUAAUUUUACUGCAGUUAGCCCUGUUGUCCAAAAAUUACGAGUUAAUAGUCAUUGGAAAUACUUUUGACUCUAGAAUCCAACAAAAUAAGAAUAAACUAAUUUAGAGUUUUGUAGAGAGCGUUACGAGUAAAACACUGAGCAAAGGUUAGAAUUGACAAAAAAUUGUAUUGAAUGUGAUUUUUGGAUUUAAUGCAAAUUGGCAUAUGUUGGAAAUCCUUGGGAUAUGGUAUUGGUCUGGGGAAGCACGUUACAAUUGAGAUGGCGUUGUUGUUGUCAACCUUGAUAAGCUCCCUAGGAGAAUGAUGAUGUGGCACCCGGGCACUGACGAGGGCGGGGAGUGAUCGCCGGUGCAAGAGGCAUGGACAAGGAGCGACUCCUGACAGGCUUCCAGUGGAAGGGGCACGUGGACGAAUCGAACAUACACCGGAAUGAGAGGGAUCUAGAUAUUGUAUAGGUAUGGGACUAUACAGUUGAAGGAUAGCUUAAAGGAAUUGAUUUGGCUACUCAUAUCAACAAAUGCAUUUGCUUUUCAGUAGCCUAACUCAUAAGAACUCCAAGCGUGCUUAGCCUAGAGUAAUUAUGGGAUGGGUGACCUUUCGGGAAGUUUUCUCGAAAAGUGUGUGAGUGAGGACAAAGCACACUGGAAAGCCUCGUGUUGAUGUGUGGGGGCAGUCAACAGUAAAAUAAGAUGAUGUACAUGUUCUUCUUGUUUUGUACUCACCAUUGUGUUUAGUGCAAUACGAAAUGUUAAAUGGAUAUAUUGUUUGGUGUGGUUAGUGGUAUAAUUUGUAUUUGAUUGUGUAAGUACUUUGAAGGAUAUGUUCUUAUUUGUUCUUGAUUCAUGAUUGUAGUAUUACUAAUAUGUGAUAUGUGUAUUUAGUUGAUAAAAUAUGUGUCAUUGAUAAUUAUGAUCCUAUAGUGUUCAAUCCUUUUGAAUUCUGUAAAGAUGAC
rnacentral:lncRNA from 1 species